rnacentral:rRNA from 1 species
CGUGGGGAACCUGCCCCAUAGUCUGGGAUACCACUUGGAAACAGGUGCUAAUACCGGAUAAGAAAGCAGAUCGCAUGAUCAGCUUUUAAAAGGCGGCGUAAGCUGUCGCUAUGGGAUGGCCCCGCGGUGCAUUAGCUAGUUGGUAAGGUAAAGGCCUACCAAGGCGAUGAUGCAUAGCCGAGUUGAGAGACUGAUCGGCCACAUUGGGACUGAGACACGGCCCAAACUCCUACGGGAGGCAGCAGCC